rnacentral:rRNA from 1 species
GUCUACACUCAUGGCACCUUGAAUGCACCUGCCUGAUCUCCUCUGAUCUCAGAAGCUAAACAGGGUGGGGCCUGGUUAGUACGUGAAUGGCAGAAUAGCAAGGGAGUGGUGAUU